CCCUUAGAUGUUCUGGGCUGCACGCGUGUUACAAUCGGGAGUACAACAAGAUUGCAAAUCCUAGUGGAUGAGUGGUUCUUCGAAAUUUUCUGAGGACUGGGAUAGUUGAUUGAAAUUAUUCAACUCAAACGAGGAAUUCCUUGUAAUUGUAAUUCAUUAUAUUGUAAUGAAUACGUCCCUGCCCUUUGUACACACCGCCCGUCGCUCCUACCGAUUGAACGAUCCGGUGAAUUAUUUGGAGUAGCUCUGGAAGUUGCAGAACUUCCUAUGUCACGAAAUUUUGUAAACCUUAUCGUUUAGAGGAAGGAAAAGUCGUAACA
rnacentral:rRNA from 1 species